rnacentral:rRNA from 1 species
AGUGAACGCUGGCGGUAGGCCUAAUACAUGCAAGUCGAACGGCAGCACAGUAAGAGCUUGCUCUUACGGGUGGCGAGUGGCGGACGGGUGAGGAAUACAUCGGAAUCUACUUUUUCGUGGGGGAUAACGUAGGGAAACUUACGCUAAUACCGCAUACGACCUACGGGUGAAAGCAGGGGAUCUUCGGACCUUGCGCGAUUGAAUGAGCCGAUGUCGGAUUAGCUAGUUGGCGGGGUAAAGGCCCACCAAGGCGACGAUCCGUAGCUGGUCUGAGAGGAUGAUCAGCCACACUGGAACGGAGCCACGGUCCAGACUCCUACGGGAGGCAGCAGUGGGGAAUAUUGGACAAUGGGCGCAAGCCUGAUCCAGCCAUACCGCGUGGGUGAAGAAGGCCUUCGGGUUGUAAAGCCCUUUUGUUGGGAAAGAAAAGCAGCAGGUUAAUACCCCGCUGUUCUGACGGUACCCAAAGAAUAAGCACCGGCUAACUUCGUG